GGACCAGGCUCACUUGAAGUUCUGAGUUUGAGCAGUAAGGUGGAACAAAGAAACCAAUGGAAACAAAGAAACAAUCAUUGUGGCAAACUCCCCACCACAGAGAAGCUGCCCUGAGUGGAAGGGAGGGUGGGCAUGCCCAUUUGUUUCGUGUCUCCCAGUGCUCUUCGCUUUCUUAUUGCAGACCUGCAUGGUUACAACAAAAUGAUCUGCAAAACUGAAAAUAUUUACUCUCUGGCUUUUACAGAAAAGGCUGACCAGCCUCUGGUUCCCGUACCGGUCAACUGAUUGGAGUACCUUUCCAGUUUGGAAACAUCUGGGCAGGCCCAGAUUGAACAGGAUCCAGGGGGAAGUACCAAGCCUGUCCCAUCGGCCAUCCUGUGUGUCAUGUCCUGUGACCCAGUGGAUGCUCAGCAUCCUCCAGCUGAAGAAACAGAUUGCCUUAGGUACAUGAAAGGUGAGGACACCUACUAUCCCCAUGGAGCCCAGGUGGGGCUGGGAGUCUGCUGUUUGUACAGCCGGUGGGCUCGUGUUGCUUUGGGCAUCCCUGUGCCUGAAUUCCUGCAGUACACUCGGUGAGAACAGCAUCUCUGAGCCCGUCCUGGGUGACCUCACAGGUUCACCUAGUGGCCCAGGCUAGUGACGGGAACAUGUACCUUCCUGCAGCCAACCCCAGACGUCCACUGAUGCAUCAUAUACUGGCAAAAGUGAGUUCCUGUGCAUUGGUCUAACAGCAGAGACUCUGCCACAGGCCCAAGAGGUUGUGUGUGGGACAAG
rnacentral:lncRNA from 1 species